rnacentral:rRNA from 1 species
GGGUUGUGAGGUUAAGCGACUAAGCGUACACGGUGGAUGCCCUGGCAGUCAGAGGCGAUGAAGGACGUGCUAAUCUGCGAAAAGCGCCGGCGAGGUGAUAUGAACCUUUGACCCGGCGAUGUCCGAAUGGGGAAACCCAGUGCAAUCCGUUGCACUAUCGUUAACUGAAUACAUAGGUUAACGAGGCGAACCGGGGGAACUGAAACAUCUAAGUACCCCGAGGAAAAGAAAUCAACCGAGAUUCCCCCAGUAGCGGCGAGCGAACGGGGAGCAGCCCGGAGUCUGAAUCAGCUUGUGUGUUAGUGGAACGGUCUGGAAAGUCCGACGGUACAGGGUGAUAGUCCCGUACACGAAAGCACACAUGCUGUGAACUCGAAGAGUAGGGCGGGACACGUGGUAUCCUGUCUGAAUAUGGGGGGACCAUCCUCCAAGGCUAAAUACUCCUGACUGACCGAUAGUGAACCAGUACCGUGAGGGAAAGGCGAAAAGAACCCCGGCGAGGGGAGUGAAAAAGAACCUGAAACCGUGUACGUACAAGCAGUGGGAGCCUCUUUAUGGGGUGACUGCGUACCUUUUGUAUAAUGGGUCAGCGACUUAUAUUCUGUAGCAAGGUUAACCGUAUAGGGGAGCCGAAGGGAAACCGAGUCUUAACUGGGCGUUAAGUUGCAGGGUAUAGACCCGAAACCCGGUGAUCUAGCCAUGGGCAGGUUGAAGGUUGGGUAACACUAACUGGAGGACCGAACCGACUAAUGUUGAAAAAUUAGCGGAUGACCUGUGGCUGGGGGUGAAAGGCCAAUCAAACCGGGAGAUAGCUGGUUCUCCCCGAAAGCUAUUUAGGUAGCGCCUCGUGAAUUCAUCUUCGGGGGUAGAGCACUGUUUCGGCUAGGGGGCCAUCCCGGCUUACCAACCCGAUGCAAACUACGAAUACCGAAGAAUGUUAUCACGGGAGACACACGGCGGGUGCUAACGUCCGUCGUGAAGAGGGAAACAACCCAGACCGCCAGCUAAGGUCCCAAAGUCAUGGUUAAGUGGGAAACGAUGUGGGAAGGCACAGACAGCCAGGAUGUUGGCUUAGAAGCAGCCAUCAUUUAAAGAAAGCGUAAUAGCUCACUGGUCGAGUCGGCCUGCGCGGAAGAUGUAACGGGGCUAAACCAUGCACCGAAGCUGCGGCAGCGACACUAUGUGUUGUUGGGUAGGGGAGCGUUCUGUAAGCCGUUGAAGGUGUGCUGUGAGGCAUGCUGGAGGUAUCAGAAGUGCGAAUGCUGACAUAAGUAACGAUAAAGCGGGUGAAAAGCCCGCUCGCCGGAAGACCAAGGGUUCCUGUCCAACGUUAAUCGGGGCAGGGUGAGUCGACCCCUAAGGCGAGGCCGAAAGGCGUAGUCGAUGGGAAACAGGUUAAUAUUCCUGUACUUGGUGUUACUGCGAAGGGGGGACGGAGAAGGCUAUGUCAGCCGGGCGACGGUUGUCCCGGUUUAAGCAUGUAGGCGGAGGUUCCAGGUAAAUCCGGUACCUUGUUAACGCUGAGGUGUGAUGACGAGGCACUACGGUGCUGAAGUGAUAAAUGCCCUGCUUCCAGGAAAAGCCUCUAAGCAUCAGGUAACACAAAAUCGUACCCCAAACCGACACAGGUGGUCAGGUAGAGAAUACCAAGGCGCUUGAGAGAACUCGGGUGAAGGAACUAGGCAAAAUGGUGCCGUAACUUCGGGAGAAGGCACGCUGAUAUGUAGGUGAAGUCCCUGCGGGCGGAGCUGAAAUCAGUCGAAGAUACCAGCUGGCUGCAACUGUUUAUUAAAAACACAGCACUGUGCAAACACGAAAGUGGACGUAUACGGUGUGACGCCUGCCCGGUGCCGGAAGGUUAAUUGAUGGGGUUAGCGGCAACGCGAAGCUCUUGAUCGAAGCCCCGGUAAACGGCGGCCGUAACUAUAACGGUCCUAAGGUAGCGAAAUUCCUUGUCGGGUAAGUUCCGACCUGCACGAAUGGCGUAAUGAUGGCCAGGCUGUCUCCACCCGAGACUCAGUGAAAUUGAACUCGCUGUGAAGAUGCAGUGUACCCGCGGCAAGACGGAAAGACCCCGUGAACCUUUACUAUAGCUUGACACUGAACACUGGUCCUUGAUGUGUAGGAUAGGUGGGAGGCUUUGAAGCGUGGACGCCAGUCUGCGUGGAGCCGCCCUUGAAAUACCACCCUUUAAUGGCUGGUGUUCUAACGUAGACCCGUAAUCCGGGUUGCGGACAGUGUCUGGUGGGUAGUUUGACUGGGGCGGUCUCCUCCCAAAGAGUAACGGAGGAGCACGAAGGUUGGCUAAUCCUGGUCGGACAUCAGGAGGUUAGUGCAAUGGCAUAAGCCAGCUUGACUGCGAGCGUGACGGCGCGAGCAGGUGCGAAAGCAGGUCAUAGUGAUCCGGUGGUUCUGAAUGGAAGGGCCAUCGCUCAACGGAUAAAAGGUACUCCGGGGAUAACAGGCUGAUACCGCCCAAGAGUUCAUAUCGACGGCGGUGUUUGGCACCUCGAUGUCGGCUCAUCACAUCCUGGGGCUGAAGUAGGUCCCAAGGGUAUGGCUGUUCGCCAUUUAAAGUGGUACGCGAGCUGGGUUUAGAACGUCGUGAGACAGUUCGGUCCCUAUCUGCCGUGGGCGCUGGAGAAUUGAGGGGGGCUGCUCCUAGUACGAGAGGACCGGAGUGGACGCAUCACUGGUGUUCGGGUUGUCAUGCCAAUGGCACUGCCCGGUAGCUAAAUGCGGAAGAGAUAAGUGCUGAAAGCAUCUAAGCACGAAACUUGCCCCGAGAUGAGUUCUCCCUGAGACCCUGAGUCUCCUGAAGGAACGUUGAAGACGACGACGUUGAUAGGUCGGGUGUGUAAGCGCAGCGAUGCGUUGAGCUAACCGAUACUAAUGAACCGUGAGGCUUAACCUUACAACGCCGAAG